rnacentral:rRNA from 1 species
UGGUGGAGCGAUUUGUCUGGUUAAUUCCGAUAACGAACGAGGCUCUAGCCUAUUAAAUAGUUCGCCGAUCCAUCUUGUCGGCGUCAACUUCUUAGAGGGACAAGCGUCGUAUAGGCACGCGAGAUUGGAGCAAAUAACA